GUGGGGAAUAUUGGGCAAUGGGGGAAACCCUGACCCAGCGACGCCGCGUGAGGGAAGAAGGCCUUAGGGUCGUAAACCUCUGUUGUGUGGGAAGAAGAGCGUGACGGUACCACACGAGGAAGUCCCGGCUAACUACGUGCCAGCAGCCGCGGUAAUACGUAGGGGACGAGCGUUGUCCGGAUUUACUGGGCGUAAAGGGCGCGUAGGCGGUCAUUUAAGUCAGGUGUGAAAUGGUUUGGCUUAACCGGAUCAUGCGGUUGAAACUGGAUGACUGGAGUGCUGGAGAGGCAAGUGGAAUUCCCAGUGUAGAGGUGAAAUGCGUAGAUAUUGGGAAGAACACCGGUGGCGAAGGCGACUUGCUGGCCAGCAACUGACGCUGAGGCGCGAAAGCCAGGGGAGCAAACGGGAUUAGAUACCCUAGUAGUCC
rnacentral:rRNA from 1 species